UGGCGGACGGGUGAGUAACGCGUGGGAAUCUGCCCUUAGGUACGGAAUAACUCAGGGAAACUUGAGCUAAUACCGUAUAAUGACUCCGGUCCAAAGAUUUAUCGCCUGAGGAUGAGCCCGCGUAGGAUUAGCUAGUUGGUGAGGUAAAGGCUCACCAAGGCGACGAUCCUUAGCUGGUCUGAGAGGAUGAUCAGCCACACUGGGACUGAGACACGGCCCAGACUCCUACGGGAGGCAGCAGUGGGGAAUAUUGCACAAUGGGCGGAAGCCUGAUGCAGCGACGCCGCGUGAGGGAUGACGGCCUUCGGGUUGUAAACCUCUUUCAGCAGGGAAGAAGCGAAAGUGACGGUACCUGCAGAAGAAGCACCGGCUAACUACGUGCCAGCAGCCGCGGUAAUACG
rnacentral:rRNA from 1 species